rnacentral:snRNA from 1 species
GUGCUUGCUUUGGCAGCACAUAACACUAAAAUACAGAGAAGAUAUGCAUGCCCCCUCAACAAGGAUGACAAGCAAAUUCAUGAAGUGUUCCUUUUAUUU